GACGAACGCUGGCGGCGUGCCUAAUACAUGCAAGUAGAACGCUGAAGGAGGAGCUUGCUUCUCUGGAUGAGUUGCGAACGGGUGAGUAACGCGUAGGUAACCUGCCUGGUAGCGGGGGAUAACUAUUGGAAACGAUAGCUAAUACCGCAUAACAGUAGAUGUUGCAUGACAUUUGCUUAAAAGGUGCAAUUGCAUCACUACCAGAUGGACCUGCGUUGUAUUAGCUAGUUGGUGGGGUAACGGCUCACCAAGGCGACGAUACAUAGCCGACCUGAGAGGGUGAUCGGCCACACUGGGACUGAGACACGGCCCAGACUCCUACGGGAGGCAGCAGUAGGGAAUCUUCGGCAAUGGACGGAAGUCUGACCGAGCAACGCCGCGUGAGUGAAGAAGGUUUUCGGAUCGUAAAGCUCUGUUGUAAGAGGAGAGCGAGUGUGAGAGUGGAAAGUUCACACUGUGACGGUAUCUACCAGAAAGGAC
rnacentral:rRNA from 1 species